AGGGGAGCAUCGCCAGCGACGGUAUGGCACAAUACGCUGUCAUGGAGUUGCUCUCUUAA
rnacentral:pre_miRNA from 1 species